UACGAGUGCCUCGAGCGUUAUCCGGAAUCAUUGGGCGUAAAGGGUGCGUAGGCGGCAGUGUUAGUCUCGCGUCAAAUCCUUCGGCUCAACCGAGGGCUCGCGCGGGAAACGGCAUUGCUAAGAGGAUGGUAGGGGUCUCUGGAACUCUAGGUGUAGCGGUGAAAUGCGUUGAUAUCUAGGGGAACACCAAAAGCGAAGGCAGGUAACUGGACUAUUACUGACACUAAACUGCGAAAGCUAGGGGAGCAAACAGG
rnacentral:rRNA from 1 species